AUUGAACGCUGGCGGCAGGCCUAACACAUGCAAGUCGAGCGAGCGGCGGACGGGUGAGUAAUGUAUGGGGACUGCCCGAUAGAGGGGGAUAACUACUGGAAACGGUGGCUAAUAACCCAUACUGCCUGAUAUCACAUAGGGGAUUAGCUAGUAGGUAAGGUAAUGGCUUACCUAGGCGCCGAUCCCUAGCUGGUCUGAGAGGAUGAUCGGCCACACUGGGACGGAGACAGGGCCCAGACUCCUACGGAGGCAGCAGUGGGGAAUAUUGCACAAUGGGCGCAAGCCUGAUGCAGCCAUGCCGGGUGUAUGAGGAGGGCCCUAGGGUUGUAAGGUACUUUCAGUCGGGAGGCGUUACCGACAUAAGAAGCACCGGCUAACUCCGUGCCAGCAGCCGCGGUAAUAC
rnacentral:rRNA from 1 species